CCCAGAUUGGCCAACUGUGUACAGGGUUACUGAGGUUACUGACAAUAACCUUGUGCAGCUGGAGACCUUGGAUGGAAAACCAUUGAAGACCAGGACACCCUAUGCUUCAGUGAAGCCUGAUCCCAGGCUGCCUGGCCCACCAAGGAGACUGUGUCCAAUCUAUCCGAGUCAGCAGAUUCAGAGUUGGAGGAGGACCCACUAGAGGACUGUGAUGUUGUCAUCACUAGUGUCCAGCCAGGCCAGGCUUAUCCAGCUUCACUGAGCAAUAGGGUGGAGGACUUCAGGGCCAUGCUCAGCAACCCAAGUACUUGGUUGGAUGACCAUGCUAUGGACCAUGUUCAGGCCCUGCUUAAGGCUAAGUACCCCAACGUCAACGGACUCUACGCCACCAACUCCCUAGGCUUGCUGUCCACUUUGACCGAGCCAGCACAAGGGUUUGAAGGCUAAUUUGCUUAGAGCUUUAAUAAAAUGAAUUCACUGCGGGUCUCCUGAAUCUGUGCAAACUAGUGCAGCACUAAACAGCAUUAUCUAAGUGAUGCGCUAUGUAUAGAGAACUAAAUUUGCAACAUUUUGCAACAAAUUCUAAAUCGGCCCAUAAAUGUACGCGUCAGAAUUUUGCGGUUUU
ensembl:lncRNA